rnacentral:rRNA from 1 species
CCUACGGGUGGCAGCAGUGGGGAAUAUUGGACAAUGGGGGGAACCCUGAACCAGCGACGCCGCGUGAGUGAAGAAGUAUUUCGGUAUGUAAAGCUCUAUCAGCAGGGAAGAAAAUGACGGUACCUGACUAAGAAGCCCCGGCUAACUACGUGCCAGCAGCCGCGGUAAUACGUAGGGGGCAAGCGUUAUCCGGAUUUACUGGGUGUAAAGGGAGCGUAGGCGGUGCAGCAAGUCUGAUGUGAAAGGUCGGGGCCCAACCCCGGGACUGCAUUUGAAACUGUUGAACUGGAGUACAGGAGAGGUAGGCGGAAUGCGUAGUGUAGCGGUGAAAUGCAUAGAUAUUACGAGGAACACCGAUGGCGAAGGCAGCUUACUGGACUGUAGCUGACGUUGAGGCUCGAAAGCGUGGGGAUCGAACAGGAUUAGAUACCCUGGUAGUC